AGCGUCUGGAAAGGCGCGCGAUACAGGGUGACAGCCCCGUACACAAAAGCGCAUGUGCUGUGAGCUCGAUGAGUAGGGCGGGACACGUGGUAUCCUGUCUGAAUAUGGGGGGACCAUCCUCCAAGGCUAAAUACUCCUGACUGACCGAUAGUGAACCAGUACCGUGAGGGAAAGGCGAAAAGAACCCCGGCGAGGGGAGUGAAAAAGAACCUGAAACCGUGUACGUACAAGCAGUGGGAGCCCCACCACCAAAGCAUUCUCUGGUGUUGAAGGCCCUGCAAAGCAGCAUCGCGGUGGCGGAGCGUCGUUUGCGACGCCCAACACACAAAACAAGCGGUGAGUGCUUUGGGGUGGGGUGACUGCGUACCUUUUGUAUAAUGGGUCAGCGACUUAUAUUCUGUAGCAAGGUUAACCGAAUAGGGGAGCCGGAGGGAAACCGAGUCUUAAUUGGGCGUUAAGUUGCAGGGUAUAGACCCGAAACCCGGUGAUCUAGCCAUGGGCAGGUUGAAGGUUGGGUAACACUAACUGGAGGACCGAACCGACUAAUGUUGAAAAAUUAGCGGAUGACCUGUGGCUGGGGGUGAAAGGCCAAUCAAAC
rnacentral:rRNA from 1 species